UCUUCAUCCAAGUCUCAGUUUAUAAAAGAAACCCACUAUAGGUCAAAAUACGGUCUUUAAUACGGAUCCGUGGCUCACACCGAACAACAAGCUGUAAAAGGUCCAUUAAAACGGACAACUAUUAGAGAAGCUAAAAAAUUGGACGUCGAUUAGAGGAGCCAAGGAGCCAAAAAUUGGACCUCAAUUAGAGGGUGAUUGAAUUGGCCGCCGAUUUGAAAUAUUAUUUUAUUGUGACGUCAGCUUUGGACCUCGAUUUGCGGAACAACCGUCGGAAAAAGACUGAUGGUAGAUAAACAGAGUGGUGAUAUGUGUACAGAGUGAUGAAAGAUAUACAAAGUGGUGGUAGAUACACAGAGUGGUGAAUUACAUAUAAAGAUUCCCUCAAAAGCAGAACACCAUAUCCUGAACACUUGAAAACCAUGACACCAUUCAAAGAACCAAUGAAAAAACAAAAGAAACAACCAGACCCUAGCAACUGCAAGCUACUCCAAAGAGAAACUAUGUUAGUAAUAGAUAAGAAACGCAGCGCUCUGAGCUCAAUGUAUUUCUGAAAUGGUCAUUUGAUAUUUGCUUAGUCUUCAAAAAAAAAAUCAAGAUGAACAUUAAUGUUCAGCUAUGAAACUUUAAAUGCAGAUGACAAACUUUAAUUUAGUUUCAAGUACAAAUGUACUGUUAUUCUCCAAUUUGACAAUCAAGAUGUAUUGAAAACAGUAAAAUAUUUAGGGAAGUUGUUAAAUUACAAAACUGAAAUUUCAGUUUUAUCAUUUAAACGAGUGUAUCACCAAAAACUGCAUGAAUUGUUUUGAAAAUUUCAACCACCCGAAAGCACUAACAAUGCAAACAAGACAAUGUUUAAAAAUGUUUUAUAAAUAUCUGUUGAUCAUUUGAUCCAAGGACCUUAAACUGUUUUACAACCUAAUAAACCUCAUCCUAAGUUAUUUCAACUAUCACCCUUUCUGCAUUGAUCAAUUUGAUAAAGAAAUUAAAUAAAUGGGCGUUCCACUCUGGGUUAAUCUCCAACCUCUUUUUUAGCUUCAAAUGUUGUUGCAUAUAUAAGUAUGGAGAUUU